rnacentral:snRNA from 1 species
GUGCUCACUUUGACAGCACAUCUACUACAAUUGCAGUGGUACAGAGAAGAUUAGCUUGGCCCCUGUGCAAGGAUGACAUGCAAAUCUGUGAAGCAUUCCAUAUUUUU